GGGAGGUAGUGACAAUAAAUAACAAUACGGGGUUCUUUAGGAUCUCGUAAUUGGAAUGAGUACAAUUUAAAUCUCUUAACGAGGAACAAUUGGAGGGCAAGUCUGGUGCCAGCAGCCGCGGUAAUUCCAGCUCCAAUAGCGUAUAUUAAAGUUGUUGCAGUUAAAAAGCUCGUAGUUGAAUUUCGGGAUCAAUUUAUUGGUCGUGCUAUUGUACGUACUGGUCUCACUGAUUCCUCCUUCCUGAUGAACCGUAAUGCCAUUAAUUUGGUGUUGCGGGGAAUUUGGACUGUUACUUUGAAAAAAUUAGAGUGUUUAAAGCAAGCUAACGCUUGAAUACAUUAGCAUGGAAUAAUGAAAUAGGACGUUCGAUCCUAUUUUGUUGGUUUCUAGGAUUGACGUAAUGAUUAAUAGGGAUAGUUGGG
rnacentral:rRNA from 1 species